CUCGAGAAUCGGAGAAGUUUUUUCCGGUGAUGAUAAAAAUUCGGUUGAAUUUAAAGAGAUUUUUAACUUUAUAAAUCCCUGCAGAACCCGAUCCCGAAUAAAUUAGCUUUAGUAGUAGCGCGUUAGUAUCAAGAAUCUGCCUUUUGAGGGUUUUUUUAACUUUUAACUCUCACUCGUGCCAUUUGUAUGAUCAAAUGUCAUAAUUUUUAUUUUGGAAGUAGUAUAAGAUGUUGGUGUGUG